AUUGAACGCUGGCGGCAGGCCUAACACAUGCAAGUCGAACGAGUGGCGGACGGGUGAGUAAUGUCUGGGAAACUGCCCGAUGGAGGGGGAUAACUAAUGGAAACGGUAGCUAAUACCGCAUACCAUCGGAUGUGCCCAUAUGGGAUUAGCUACGAGGUGGGGUAAUGGCUCACCUAGGCGACGAUCCCUAGCUGGUCUGAGUGGAUGACCAGCCACACUGGAACUGAGACACGUGCCAGACGCCUACGUGAGGCAUCAGUGGUGAAUAUUGCACAAGGGGCGCAAGCCUGAUGCAGCCAUGCCGCGUGGAUGAAGAAGGCCUUCGGGUUGUAAAGUACUUUCAGCGAGUAGGCGUUACUCGCAGAAGAAGCACCGGCUAACUCCGUGCCAGCAGCCGCGGUAAUUC
rnacentral:rRNA from 1 species